rnacentral:rRNA from 1 species
AGUGAACGCUGGCGGUAGGCCUAACACAUGCAAGUCGAACGGCAGCACAGGAGAGCUUGCUCUCUGGGUGGCGAGUGGCGGACGGGUGAGGAAUACAUCGGAAUCUACUCUGUCGUGGGGGAUAACGUAGGGAAACUUACGCUAAUACCGCAUACGACCUACGGGUGAAAGCAGGGGAUCUUCGGACCUUGCGCGAUUGAAUGAGCCGAUGUCGGAUUAGCUAGUUGGCGGGGUAAAGGCCCACCAAGGCGACGAUCCGUAGCUGGUCUGAGAGGAUGAGCGGCCACACUGGAACUGAGACACGGUCCAGACUCCUAAGGGAGGCAGCAGUGGGGAAUAUUGGAAAAUGGGCGCAAGCCUGAUCCAGCCAUACCGCGUGGGUGAAGAAGGCCUUCGGGUUGUAAAGCCCUUUUGUUGGGAAAGAAAUCCAGCUGGCUAAUACCCGGUUGGGAUGACGGUACCCAAAGAAUAAGCACCGGCUAACUUCGUGCCAGCCGCCGCCGUAA